UUAUCAAAAAAAAUAACAAUGUUAACUAUUUCCUAAUACCUAUGGUUCUUUUUUUAGAAUGCGAAAAUGUUUCAUAUUUAGCAAGAAAUGCGUAGUCUGAACGAAAACAUAUACAUAAUUAACAUAUUGAGACAAAUUAAAAGAAAAAAAAAACCAAAGCUUUAAUUACCUAACACUCGUAUACUACACUCAGCGUUAGUUAAAAAAUAAUUAAAAACGAUUUUUAAUAAUUAUAUACUAUGAUAAAUUAUACAAAAAAUACAAGAAAACUAAUACGUUAGGUAACUUAACAUACACGCUUUAAGAAAGGAAAAGAAAAUUAAAAGUGAAUUUCCAACUAAAAACAAAUUUAGCGCAACUACUGAUAAUAAGCAGAAUAUAUUUAAAUCAAUACUACUUGGACUGCACUGUCUGCCUUACAAUUGAUAGAAACCCGUAGUUGGACACAAAAUCCAAAAAGUAAAAGAAAAAAAAACUAAAGUACGCGAAUUUAUGCAAUGAAUUCAAGUUAUAAUUUUAAAAUAAAGUAAACAAAUAACAGCCAAGACUUAAAUCCGUAACGUUUUUGUGACAGCGUUGCCAGAUGACAAAAUCAAUGUUGGGCAACGCAGACUGGAAAGUAACGGGAAAAUACACACAACACCUUGCCUUAAAAAUGGUUCGUACAGUUUUUAUUAAAUCGAACAAAAAUUA